UCAGGCCUAACACAUGCAAGUCGAGGGGUAGAGUUAGCUUGCUAACUUGAGACCGGCGCACGGGUGCGUAACGCGUAUGCAAUCUACCUUGUACAGAGGGAUAGCCCAGAGAAAUUUGGAUUAAUACCUCAUAGUAUCUUCGAGAGGCCUCUCUUGAUUAUUAAAGUUCCAACGGUACAAGAUGAGCAUGCGUCCCAUUAGCUAGUUGGUAUGGUAACGGCAUACCAAGGCUAUGAUGGGUAGGGGUCCUGAGAGGGAGAUCCCCCACACUGGUACUGAGACACGGACCAGACUCCUACGGGAGGCAGCAGUGAGGAAUAUUGGUCAAUGGGCGAGAGCCUGAACCAGCCAUGCCGCGUGCAGGAAGACGGUCCUAUGGAUUGUAAACUGCUUUUAUACAGGAAGAAACCCUCCCACGGUGGAGCCCGAC
rnacentral:rRNA from 1 species